CGUAACGCGUAUAGAAUCUACCUUUUACAGGGGGAUAGCCUUUAGAAAUGAAGAUUAAUAUCCCAUAGUAUUGCGAAAUGGCAUCAUUUUGUAAUUAAAGAUUUAUCGGUAAAAGAUGACUAUGCGUCCUAUUAGCUAGAUGGUAAGGUAAUGGCUUACCAUGGCAAUGAUAGGUAGGGGUCCUGAGAGGGAGAUCCCCCACACUGGUACUGAGACACGGACCAGACUCC
rnacentral:rRNA from 1 species